ACCUGGAGCCCCGCGCGCCGGGGACCGUGGCGCUGCCUCCGAGGGGCCUGGCCCGGCUCUCGGCGUCCACCGGGAGCGCGCCGGGAUAAACGUGACACUGGAACUGGACAAUGACAGCGCUCUACGCGAUGACCUUAGAAGGAGUGGCGGUCAGGCCUGUAACCUUCUACCCCCACUCCCACCUCCCCGACAGGUUUUACUCACGGUGAGGGGGAACUAAUGGUUUACCGUGCUCUAAAACCAUGAGAAUUUUCCUGGAAUGUUUCCUAGAGCGCUUCAGAACCACCAGCAGCUCUGGAUAAAACUGAACAGGAAUGAUGAAGUGGCUACAGAUGACCUGGGAAUUGGCCAAGGAAUUGUGAUUCCAGGAUUUGGGGUCCUUGGUGGCUUGAUAUUGUCAGAAAGUUGGCAUUGUUUGAGUAGCCUCACUUUUAACAGUAGGCCCUGUUGAUUGCAAUUUUUUCUUCUUGGUAUUGUUUUCUUCUUAAGGAUUUUGCCUGCCGCAGCCCAUACUUGUUUCCAGGGUUCCAGCCUCAGUGGGGUUCUUCCUCACUGCGUACACUCUCCUCAGGGAAAUCUGGCCAUGCCCAGAGCUGAAUCUUCAAUUUAGUCCUCACCCAUGAGCCCCAGACACUUGGACAACUGCCCAGGCCCCCACUCCCCCCCACCUCAGAAAUCCACAGACAGCUCUAGGUGAGGCCAUAUGACUAGUUUCUGUCUAAUAGGAUGGAAAGAACAGUGGCAUAUCCUUACUCUCAUUCUUACUGAUGUCUAGAAUACAGAGGCAGUGGCUGGAGCUCAAGCAGCCAUUUUAGGCCAUGAGGUUGGUGAAGCAACAGAAUGGAAGAUGCUUGGUCCCUGAUGCUUAUGGAGCCAAUAGCUUGGAACUGCUUGCCUCCUGAGUUUGUUUCAGGGAGGGAAAAACAACUUUUAUCUUGUUUAGACCACUGUUAUUUUGCAAUUUCAUCAUAUGCAGCUAAACCAAAGCUAGCUUAAUAUUUAAGACCUUUCCUGCUCCAGUCCCCUCAAUACCAUAUGCUCCGUUGACUAUACUAAACUACAUGCAGCUCUCUCUGCUUCCAUUCCUUUGCACAGCAUUUACUGAAAGGUAUUAUAAGGAUCUACUCAGUUGUCUCCCUGACUGUCCUGUGAAUGAAUGUCUUUAGAGCAGGACUGUACCUUUCUUGGCGUUUCUGCCAUGUGAUCAGCUUCUUUAAGGCAAGAAAGGGAGACAUAGGGAACAGAUGUUUAUGGGCCCGAAUUAUACAUGCUUUCCUUUUUUUUUGACUUAUUCUCAUUCUGAAAGCCACUGUGAGGGGGGCAUUUUUAUUAAUCUUUUUUUUUUGUUGUUGUUGUUGUUGUUAGUUGCCAUUGAGCAACCCUUUCUGAAGCCGAUCACCAGGCCAGUCUUCUGAGACACCUCUGGGUAGGUUCAAAUCGCCAACCUUGUGGCUAGUAGUCAAGCACUUAGCCAUUGUGCCAUCCAAGGAAGUAGAGACUCACAAAGAUGAAGUCCUUUCCCAAAUGUGCAUGAAUAAUGAGUGGGGGAACGUAGUGUGGAACUCAAGUCUGUCUGGCUUGAAGCAAGAGCCCUUUCUACUGCACUUAGAAGCUUCCUUGUCAGUGCAAGGCCCAGGGCUGUGAGCUCUGAUGAAUGAAUUCCCUCUGUGGUGCUCCUUUGAGGUCCUCACUCUCAGCUGCUUUUCACAUGAUGGCUUGUGAGGAAUGAGUAAGCACCUCCCUGAACCUGACCUCAAUUCAGGAAGGGAUGGCCUCUGCUUCAGAGUUUGGUGUUCAGGGGAUUUUUUCUUUUCCUUCUUUCAACAUACUUUCGAAACCGACACUGCCCGGGAGGUGGUGUGGUGCCCUGGAACCCAUAAGAACUUCAGAACCAGAUGGGCUUGGGUCUAAAUUCCUGCUCUUCCACUCAUUUGCUGCAUGACCCAGGCAGUUACUUAGCCUGACUGGGCCUCAGUUUCCUCAUCUGAAAAGAUAUCGUGACAUCCCUCAGAGGAUCACACGGAGUAUUCGAAAGAAAUGACGGGAAUGCAGCUGACACUGAGCAAAUGUCCUCUACUUCUCUCCUUUAUUUGAGGUGGGGGUUUUGUUUCAUUUGACAUUGAAGUGACAGACUGUAUUACUGGUCACAAAUUUUCUGUAUUCCCCCCACUACAGGGGAUCACACCUUUCUGGACCGUUAAGCACAGUACUGGCCUUGUGACAUCUGCCCAAUGUCAGCCGAAGCACUGUGUGGCAGUUCUGGGUAGAAGCUUUAAGAUCCUGGGCCUGCUUCACCCAGUUCUCUUUUCUUCUGCCAGGGGACCAGAUAUGUUCCAGAUAGAGGCUGCUCCAUUAGACUGGGUCCAUAGCCAGUGCGUGAAAGACACGUAGUAUGAGCCUGAAACACACCUUCAUUGUGGUAAGUCACUGAGACAUGGAGUCAUUUGUUACUGCAGCCUCCCUUGAUCUGACUGAUACAGUUGAUAUUUAGCAUCUUACAUUUCUGUGUAAUAUUUUUAAACUUUUCCAAAAGGUUUAUUUGUUGCAUUUAUAUUUUUUGGUGAUGGGCACUUAAAAAAUAAGUUGUGUUUUUGCCAAGUAUUGAAUGCUUAGUGUUUGCUGAUCAUGGUCCAGGGUCUCUGUGAUGGUUAAGGUUAUGUGUCAACUUGGCUGUGCCAUGAUUCUCAGUGGUUAGGCAGUUAUGAUGUAGUUUGGCAGUUAUGAUUAGUUUGGCAGCUGUGUAAUGAUAGAAUCACCUCCCUAAUGAGGUCUGAUGUAAUAUAAUCACCUCCAUGAUGAGAUCCAUUAUGAGCAGCCAAUCAGUUGAAAGGGAAUUUCCUUGGAGGUGUGGCCUGCAUCCAAUAUAGGUGGACUUUCUGGCACAGCUUGCUGUCUUUAGCUCUCUCUCUGGAUCCUGCAGCUGGCUCCCGUUCACCUGACCUCCAGUUCUUGGACUCAAGCUAGCAGCUUACCUGCCAGUCUUGGGAUCUGUCAACCUCUGCAGCCUGUGAGCCAGAGGCCUCCUAUCUGACCUUCCAAUCUUGGAUUUACCAGCUCCUGCGGCUGUGUGAGCCUAGAGAAGCCUCCAGCCUGACCCAAUGGAUUUGGGACUUUGCAACCUCUACAACCUCGUCUUCGUCGAGUAUUCUUUUUGAUGAUUUUCUUAAGUGAAGAUUUGGCAGAAGUUUUUGAAGUUGGAAGUUUUGCUUAUGAAAGGUAGAACAGAAGAGCAGAUGAACGCUGGUGAUAUUGCACCUUCCCCAUAGGACACCACAGAGUGUGUCUAGAGCAGUCUCUUCGCCUCACCUUCGAGCCACGCAGAACCAUCUUCCACGUCAGAAUAGUCUCGACAAGAGGGUCAGCCUGCCAGGCACAAACACCAGCCAUCAGCUCGGUGCUGGUGACAGAUCCCCAGUGUCUUCCUUUCCUAGUGCUGCUGUAACAGAAGUACCACAAGUGAGUGGCUUUAAAGAACAGAAAUUUAUUUUCUCAUGAAUUCAGGGCACUGGCUCUAGGGGGAGGCUCGCUCUGUCAGCCUUGGGGAAGAUCCUUCUCUCUUUCAGCUUCUGGUCCUCGGUUCCUUGGCAACCUUGGGCAUUUAUCCCUCCCCCACCCUGCCGCCAUGUUUGUCCUUGCCGGCGUCAGUGUCUGAACUGCUCCUUAUAUCACUCAGCAGUGGUUAGGUUUAGAUGCAUCCUACGCUGAUAGGACGUCAUCAGCGUACCAAAGGAAACUCUUAUUUCCAAAGAGGAUCACAUCCGUACAGAUGUUGUUAGUUGCUGUCCAGUGGAUUCUGACUCAUGGUGACCCCAUGUGUGCAGAGUAGAACUACUGCAUCGGGUUUUCAAGGCUGUGACCUUUUGGAAGCGGAUGGUCAGGCUUGUUCUCCAAGGUGCCUCUGGGUGGGUUCGAACCGUCAAUCAUUUGGUAAAGCACAGCUGGUCUUGGCACAAGUUGAAGAGAAGGCUGCAAUACAUGACAACCACUGUCAACAACAUCAACAUAUUUGAAAACAAAAAGCGGCCGGGAAAUUAUAAAUGGAUCUUCUACAGAUCUCCACAGGACUUAUGGAGGGUGUUUAAAGCUGUGAAACCAGCGUUACCUGGAAUUUGUGAAUGCCACAAAAUAUGAUCAUAAGAUAAAGCCGUUUAAAAGAUUGUCCACAACUCAUACAGCUGUAUGACCGUUAUCUCCUCCUAAUUAACCACUGUGGAGGCAGCGGUGCAAUGAACUUUUUAAUAUGGCCCUUCUACCCAUAGUCUUUGUGACUCACACAAUGAUUGAGUGGAACUGUGCAAUUAACAUGUAUGGAACCUGUGAUGGUUGGGGUUGUGUGUCCAGUUGGCUGGGCCACAAUUCCCGGUAUUUUGUGGCUGUUCUCCAUUUUGUGAUCUGAUCUAAUUAUCCUCCAUUUUAUGUGUUGUAAAUCCUAACCUCUAUGUGUUAAUGGGGCAGGAUUAGUGUUGGGUGUAUCUUGAGUCACGCCCUUGCAGGAGGGCGUGACUCAGAUUCCACCCUUACUCAAGUCACACCCUUCCCUGGGGUGUGGCCUGCAUCCAGUGUAUAUGUGUGGGUGCACUGGUGGUGCUCUCUCUGUAUCUGGAUCCUGUGUCUGGCUCGUCACUGUCAGACCUCUGGUUCUGGGGAUUGAGCCAGUGGCCUGCUCUUUGACCUGCCAAUUCUGGGAUUCGCCAGCUUCUGCAGUCCGUCCUAUGGGCCAGCAGCCUAUCAUCUGCUUGAUUCGCCACCUUUGCCAGCCUUGUGAGCCAGCAGCCUCGUUGUCUAGCCUGCCGAUUUGGGUUCAUCGGCCCCUCCAGCCAUGUGAGUCAAGAGAAGCCUACGCCCGACCCACGGAUUUGGGACUUGCCGGCCUCCACGACCUCGUGAGCCAUUUCCGUGAUGUGGUUGGUGAGUUCUGUGAGACGCUGCAGUGAAUUACGGAACCCAGAGACAGAGGGAGAGUACUGAGGGGAGGAGGAGUAGUUGAUGUUAGAGAUGAUGGAGGGGUACAGCAGUUUGGAAAAGCUGGACAUUUGGUACACUUUUAACCCUACCUGAGAGGAACGAGCUUUGUGCCGAUCCUGAUCAAAGCAACGAUUCCUUCUGGGGCCCUGUACUGGUGCCAUCGCUUAGAACACUUUUCGGCUCUUUUCUGUUAAAAUUGCUUUCAGAGUAGGCACCUGAUCCACAUGGGGGAAAUCAGCUUGAUUUUAAUUCACGGCAGUUGGUUCUGAAUAGCUUGUAGGUGUUUCCAAAAAUUCAGUCCACCCCAGAAAGGACAAAUUCUCCAGCAGUGAAGACGUUAAAGGAGUGUGCUGCACACUUGUUAUGGGUUGAACUGUGUUCCCCCAAACAUGUGUUAGAAUCCUAACAUCUCUGCCCUGGAUAUAAUCCCAUCUGGGAAUAGGGUUUUCGUUGUUACGUUAAUGAGGCCAUAUCAAUGCGGGCUGUGUCUUAAACCAAUCACUUUUAAGAUAUAAAAGAGGCCGUUUGGCACAGAAGCAAGCAAGGACAAACUGGGAAAGAUUGAUGCCACGUGGAGAUGGCCAAAGAGCCGAGAAACAAGCUGAAAAAAGACAAGGAAGGACCUUCCCCCAGAGCUGACAGAGAGAGAAAGUCUUCUCUUAGAGCCAGCACCCUGGCUUUGGACUUCCAGCCUCCUAACUGUAAGAAAAUGAACUCUGGUGGUGCGGUGGUUAAGCUCUCGCCUGCUAACCUGAAAGGUUGGCAGGUCGAACCUACCAGCAGCUCCCGGGAGAAAAGACUUCAGCCUAGGAAAUCCUAGGGGGGGCAGUUCUAUUCUAUCCUGUAAGGUCGAUAUGAGUUGGAAUCGACUCUACGGCACACAACAGCAACAAAUUUAAGAAAAUCAGUUUCUCUUGGUUAAAGUCACCCACUUGGGGUAUUUCUGUUACAGCAGCACUAGGUAACUAAGACAAUCCUCCUUUGAAAUUUUUGCCGGCAGAUUUUCAGAUGUGCUUCAGGCAGUGGUUCAUAACACUUCCCACAAGUCCACUCUGAAAGGGUUCUCUUAUCAGGUCCCAUCAGUUCUGCGGGCUUCUUGUCAACACGCCCUCACGACUGUAGGGCCUCGCUGCAGGCCCCACUUUUCCCUCACACCAUAUCCUUUUAGGUGUUUUUUUUUUUUUGAUCCCAUGCAAAGCACUGAACCUCGGAUGUGAACGUUGGCUUAGCUGAUUUCUCCUCUGCUGAAAAAGUGAAAAGCAAAUGAUGUCAGACCUACUUCUGACUUGUCCUCUUUCCAAUUUUGUUUGUCCUCUCCUGCUCUCAGUUAUGAUUUCAAGGAUGAGUGGUGGUGAAGAUUUCUUACCCAAACUAAACGAAACCCACUGCCAUCAAUUUGAUUCUGACUCAUAGCAACCCUAUAGGACAGAGUAGAACUGCCCCAGAAGGUUCCAAGGCUGUAGUCUUUAUGGAAGCAGAGCACAACAUCUUUUUCCUGUGGAGCAGCCAGUGGGUUCAGACUACCGGCCUUUCAGUUCGCAGCCAAGCGCUUUAACCACUGCACCACCAGGGCUCCUGAAAGUUUCUUAGGGGUGGAAGAAAAAAGAAAACCAUUUCUCAAACUCUGUGACUUUCAAAAAGGACUGUUCCGUGCCCACUGUCUGGAAGGAAGUUUCCUUCUGUACCACUGGCUUCAAGUCUGCAGCUGGCUUUGCAAAUAGGUUCAAAAAAAUACUUCUUCCACAGUUUUCCAGCCUAAAAAAAAAAUAACCACUUACCUAUCCAGAUGAUGUGAGUACAGUAACAGCGAUUCACCUGGAUUCUAGGCUGCUAGAAGGUGCAUUUACUUCAUGGGUACCACGUGCCACCCUCUGUUUUCCCUCCAGACACGUGAUUAUGUUCUCUGCACAGCAAAGGGCCUGAAGUUUUUACUUCUGCACAAAACAGGUUACAGUGGCAAAUCCCACCCAAUUGCCAACUGUGUGGUAAGGAUCAGCGUGAACCCAAUUCCCAGAGUGUGGAUAGGCCCAGUCCCCACCUUCCCCCUCUUCCACCCUCAUUGCCAGGCGCUCACAUGGCACGCUCUCUCUCUAGACUAGUCGCCCCAGAGCUGAGUCAGGACUCACAGUUUAGAUGGAUACCAUCUCUCAGACCAGCUGCCCGUGCAGCAUUCUCAGACCCUCACCACCCAGAGCUAGGGCAGCACUCACUCACUGGAAGGCCGCCUUCCCUGCCAAAUAGGCAGAUGCCGGCCCCUGCUGGCUCUCACUGCCCUGUGGGUUCAUUAAUUCACCAGGAUGACUCACGGAAUUCAUGAAGAGUACACCCUACUACAUAAGGAGCCCUAGUGGCACGGUGCUUAAGCGCCGGCUGCUAACCAGAAGAUUGAUGGUUCAUACCACUCAGCCACUCCCCAAAGAAAAGACCUGAUGAUCUGCUCCCGUAAAGAUUACAGGCUUGGCAACUCUAUGGGGCAGUUCCAGUCUGUCCUACAGUGGAACUCACAAACUGUAGGACUAGAGUGCAACGAAUUUGGCUUUGCUUUUUAUACUAUACGUAUGGCCGCAACUUUAUUACAACCAAAAAGGAUACAAACAAAGAGACACAUAGGGUAAGGUCUGGGAGAGGUCACAGCCCGAACCUUGCAUGUUCCAAGGAGGGACAUACCACUCUGUCCUGUGCGUGGUCACCAACUAGGGAGCCCCAUCAGAACCUUAGGGCUCAGGGCUUUUACCGGCCUCACCACGUGGCCGUGAUAGACUAUAUCAUGCCUCAUGAGGCUUAGCAUCGGCCCUUACUCACCUCAGGUGUUGGUCUGGCUUGGAAGAACCAAGAACAAGGGUUAAAUUGCUUUUGGCAAGGCAAUUCCACACCUCACAGCUUCCCCCUGUCAGGUGUUCCCUAUCUUCCCCUGGUGAAGUCCCACUCAUCCUUUUCUGUGCACUUUUUUAAAAGCUUCUAUUAAAAACCUGGUGUUUUUUAGUCAGUCUGAUUUCUAUCCAAUCCUAAGUAGGCACUUUACUGUUAAUCUACAUACUUUCUUAAAAUGUAUAAAACAGGAGUGUGUUUUCUUGUUGACUUAAGCGUAACUGAGCUGAUAUCUUUAGAUAGGACAAUUUGGCCAGCAGAGGAAUCUGUCACUACAGAGAGUUCUGGAAUGAUUCAUUCAACCCAAUUUCCUGGCUCAGAAGUGUCUCCUUCCUCUUUUACUGUUCUGAAUGUCUGUCCCAAAGCUGUGCACUCCACCCAAGAGAACAGCCAUCUUGGAUAGAAUUUUCAGCUUGGCAGCCUGAGAUGCUUAGAUAUACUCACUGGUUAUGUGUUACAUAUGUGUGAAUUUAGUAGUAGUAACUUAAAGUCGCUGGGUAAUGCAAAGUUAACACACUCAGCUGCUAACCUAAAGGUUGUAAGUGUGAGUCCACCCAGAGUUACCUUGAAAGAAAGUCCUGGCGAUCUUCUUCCAAAAAGUCAGCCAUUGAAAACAGUAAGGAACACAGUUCUACAGUAACACACAUGGGGUCGCCAUAAGCUGAAGUCAAUGGGUUGGCAACUUUUUUUUUUUUAAACUUAAUCUCACUAAGAAAUAAUGAAAAAAGUUUAAAGCCCUGUAUUAAUGGAAGGUUAUGAUUAUUAAAAUAAAUUAUAUGUGUUUAUAUACAUAUACGUAUAGGUAAUAUGGAGCUCUGGUGGUACAGUGGUUAUGAGCCCAGCUGCUAACCAGAAAGUCAGCAGUUCGAAUCCACCAGCCACUCAAAGGAAAUCCUAUAGGGCGUUUCUACUCUGUCCUAUAGGGUCACUAUGAGUUGGAACUGACUCGAUGGCAACAGGUUUGAUUUUUGGGUUUUAUAGAUAAAACAAGGAGCCCUGGUAUUGUAACAUUUAAGCACUCAGCUGCUAUCUAAAAGGUUGGCAAUUCGAACCCACCCGGCAGCCCUGAGGGAGAAAGACCUGACAAUCUGCUCCCAUAAAGAUUAUCACCUAGAAAACCCUAUGGGGCAGUUCUUCUCUGUCACAUGGGGUUGUUAUGAGACUUGCCGGCACCGAAAAACAACAUAGAAAAUAACCCACUGCCAUCGAAUGGAUUCCAACUCAGAGGGACCCUAUACACAUUAUUAAAAUAUUGUACAUUAUACAUAUUAUAUAUGUGAAUAAAAGUCUAAAAUCAUGUCGAAGUUAGUAAAACAAAAGCAGUGCAUUUCCACCCUCUUUCCUCCUCUAGUCAGGGACCUUGAGGUUGUGGGAUUUCCAGGGCCUUUCUUUUUUUCAUCCCAGAAGACUCAGCAUGCAGCCUGGUCAGUCUGGCCCACGGGCCAGGAACCUCUCUUCUCUCCCACUAGAGGGCGUAGGGUUCCUUUGUACAGAAGCAUUCUUUGGGCAUCUUGGGAGGCUCUUGUUCUUAUCCGGUUAGGCUGGGUCUCAUGGGCUCUAUUUUUAGGCCCUCUGUAUGUUUUUUGUUUUUUAGUAUAUUUAGGCCUUGGGUAUUCAGGCCUAGAGACCCUGCUGAAUCAGGAAACACCAUAUUCUCUCAGGGACUUUGGCCAUGACCCCGUCAUAGAGUCAGGGUCUCUCCCAGUAUGCAGGCUGUGAGGGGUGGGGUAAAACAAGGCCACUUUUCACAGAGUGCUCAAGGCCCAUGGAAGAAAACAAAGAAUGCCCUUGUUCCCUUCACAUUUUGAGUUCUCAAACUGAAGUAAAAUGUUAAGAUAAAAGAAAAAUUACAGGGUCUGAAGAAAAAUGCAUUUGUCUACUUUGCUUUCCUCUAUGGUACUUAUUAAAAGUUAAAAAUUGUGUGGGAGGUGCAGGAUGUCAUCACCCCGGUUUCCUCACUUGAUUAUGUCACCCACUAGUAGCAUUUGGACCAUGUAAGCUUCAAGAGUCACCAGUUAAAAGAGCAGGCACCCAGGGCCCACCCUCAGAGGUUCCAAUUCUGUAGGCCCUGGGGUGUGGCCCAAGAAUCUCCCUUUUUGGCAAACAGCCAUUUGAUUCUCAGGCAAAUGAUCCUCAAACCACACUUUGAGAAACUUUUCAUUAGACAUGUCCUCUUAGUCCUCUGGGUGGUGUAAAAGGUUAAGUGCUCAACUACUAGCUGAAAGGUUGGUUUGAACCUGCCCAGGGGUGUCUCAGAAAAUAGACCUGGUGAUCUGCCCUGGAAACCCUACGGAGCAGUUCUACUCUGUACACAUGGGGUUGACAUGAGUCAGCAUCAACUUGACAGCAACUAACAACAGCAAAAUUCUAAUAUAAAUUUUAUAUUCCCAGUGGGAAAGACCCAUGCAGGAAUUCCCUAAAUUUAAUAUUUCAGGAAGAUGGCCAGUUCCUUUUCAUUUUGUAUAAUUGUGAGCUCACUGGGCAGGGCCUUAUCUUAGGUUCUGAAAUACAGUGUCUCCCAGCACCCCCACCUUGAAUCUAAUCCCUGCUUCCCAUUCAGGACCCUCAGGCUCCUGCUUUUGAUAUGUUAAGGCUCCUGGGGCCUGGCAGCAUUCUAAAUAGCCACCAGGGCAAUUACCAUGUACUGACCUCCCACCCCCCCACCCCACCCCCAACAAGGCUGGUUCAAUAUCAGAGGCAACCUCUUUGGAAGAUGCUCCUGAAUCUGUGUUCUGAGAGGCCACCUCACCCACCCGCAAUCAAGUGUCAACUCACAGACACGGAUGGCCACCACCAAACUGCUGUCUAGCAGCAGGGACAGGUCCAGGGUUACAGGGAGGGGGCUCUGUAGCUCCCAGGAAGUCUCACAAGUUGGCCUGGCCCUAAGGAAGGUGGAUCACCAUGGCCUAGGUUCCAUAUUUUGGCCUUCAUGUGCUGGGAAACUAUCUUGUCCACACCUUGGUGGCACUCGGACUCAAGGAGGUUGACUUGGGUAACAGAGUUCACAAGAGCAUGAAGCCAUCACUUACAGUGAGAAAUAAAACCAGAUACUAUGUCAUUCCAGCCAGGCUGGGGAGGAGGCUUUCCUUGGUGGCCAUGACUCAGAACAAGUAUAAGUAGUAUGGGUCUCUACUUGCAGGUAGAGCAGAUAUUCACCUGGAAUGCCCUCCAUGACUACACUAGUUGUUACUGGAUGCAGUCUGUUCUGAUUGGUCAGCGCCUGUGCCGUAUCAGUUAAAUAUCUUGACCAUCAUGCCUAAUGAUAGGUGUACAUAGACCUGCUAGGAGGGUGAGAACUUCUGGUACCUGACAGGGCUAUCUCCCCUGGACUGACUAUAAAUCCCGCAUUAGACUUCAAGUGGUUCUACUCAUUGUUUAAUCACCAGCACCUAGCACAUAGUAGAUGCUCAGUUACACAUGAUGGGUGCUCACAAUGUCAAGUUCAGUCAACCAACAGUGCCUGGAUGGGCUCUGCCCCAUUUGCGCCUGAGCUUUGUUUUUGUGGCCUCGGUGGUUGACCACUCUCCUGAAGGUUACGUUCCUUCUUUGCCUGUACCUCUCUCUUUUAGGUGACCUUACUCAAUAAUGAAUAUUUACUGAGCACCUACAGUGUGCCAGGCUUUCGAGGAUACAGCAGUGAAUAAAACAGCCCUGGUCUCUGCUGGAGGCUGAAGUCUCAGGAGUAAGUCAGGCGUUAAUAAUGUGAGAUGGGUAGUAUGACGUAGCAUUUUGGGAGCACAGGGAGCAGGGAUGUCCAAAGACUCAGGUAUGGGAAUGUGUAAGUCAAGUCAGGGCAGCAGGAGAUGAGCUGGAAAACGUGGGCCACAAUAUGGAUUUGGGGUGUGGUGGCCAGGAGGAAGCAUCUUGUGGACCUCCAAUUGACAAAGAGCCCAGUGCUGUACUCUGAAAUCCACCUGUGCUGAGGCCACGUUUCCCUCGGCGGCUCCCAGCCAAGGACUGAGUGCAACAGGGAUGCUAAGCACUAGCUUUGGUUGAAGGACUCUGGGAAGGCUUUGUUGAACCCCCCUUAGACUGCAGGGCAGUCUUGGGCCCUUCUCCCCUCCCUCCUUCGUUUGGGGUCUCAGCCUCCUCCAACUCCCUCCCCAUUUUCUCUCACAAAUAAAGUUCUUGAACUUUUGUUCCUAACUUGAUGUCUGCUGCUGGGAGGAUCUAGACUAACACAUGAGGCUUUAUCCUGAUGAUAAUUUAAAGUCAUUGAAGGGCUUUAAAUGAAGGAGUGGCAUAAUCAGAUUGUAUUUGAAAUAAUUCAGUGUGGCUGCAGGGUGGAGAAUUAGAUUGGAGAGAACCAAGAGUAGAGACAGGAAGACCAAGUAGGAGGCUGUUACAGGGGUCCAGGUGAGAGAUGGUGGCUUGGACUGCUGGUGGCCGGAGUGGAGAUUUAGCGUGUGAUUGGAUUUGGGAGAUAUUUAGGAUGAAGAAGAGAUGGCCCUUGAUGAUGGACUGAAUGUGGAGUAUAAGGGAAAGGGAGGAGUUGAGAAUGAUGACUCCAAGUUCCUGUCCCAGUUAUACUUGCAGUUAAGAACCCUGGCUGAUAUAUCACCUUACGGUGGUAUAAUAAAUAGCCUGCUGGUUUUAGAAGCUGGAAGGUGCAGCGCUUUGCUUUUCCAGCCAGGCAGAAUUGUUCAGUAAGAUUAGGCCAAAGUGCACUUCAGCUUGCAAUGACAGCUGCAGAGCAUCGGGCAACCGCAAAACAGCUGACCCUCUUAAGCCUUGAGCACCCACGGCAAGGACCAUCUCCAGAUAAUGAGUGGGGACACUCCUCUUAGGUUUUCAGGUGCAGCAAGGCCCAUCUAGGAGAGCCGAGUGAUUAUUAGCGUAGUUUCUCUGGGUGGCACAAAUGGUUAAGUACUGGGCUGCUAACAGUAAAAGUUGGUGGUUCAAACCCACCCAGAGGUGCCUUGGAAGGAAGGUCUGGUGACAUGGAUCUAAAGAGUCAGCCUUGAAAACCCUACGGAGCAGCUCUGCUCUGCACACGUGGGGACGCCAUGAGUCAGAGUCAAGUCAGCAGCAGCUGGUGGUGUUUUUUUCCUCAGAUGGAGGCGAGGGAGGUGCUAGAAGCCUCUUUCAGAGUCAUUUUUCUCCUAGGUAGCCAGUGCCCAUUUCAGGCUGGUGGGAAAUGCCCGAAGUGCUCCUGGCCCCUUCCCUCCCUCCCCUGCCCUGAGAGCUCUCCUGGGGGAGGCAGCCAGACGUGAGCCAACAAGUCCUGACACACAUCCCGCUUCCAGGAGCUUCGCUCAGCCGGGAACGCAGUCAGAGGGUGAGAGAUGCGCCUUCCUCCCUGGGGCAGCUUCGGAUGAGGUCAUACUUUCCCUCUGGACUCUAUCAGGAUUCUUCCUUGGUAUUUCUGAGUCACUCGAUGGCUUAUGUCACUGGGUGAUGCUAACCAAAAGGUUGGAAGUUCCAGUCCACCCUAGAUGCGCCUCCAAAGAAAGGCCUCGUGACCUACUUCCAAAAAAAAUCAGCCACUGAAGACCCUAUGGAGCACCGUUCUGUUCUGGUUCAUGGGGUCACCACGAGUCAGAGUCCACUCGACAGCAAGCGGUUUUGUUUGACAGUUGGUAGACACUUUGGAAGCCAGAGGUAUCAUAUAAGUGUCUUGUGCCUUUACUCCUAAGAAUGUUCUUGUGGCCCUUAACGUUACCUGGAAAGUUCAAUGCUACAUAGGGGCUCUGGAGAAUUAAGCAGCAUAAAAGAAGGGGAGAGGGGAGUCCAUUGUUAGUGGAUGUUCAGGAAGGCAGAGGAGUUUAGCACUAAAAAAUCAAAUCCAAGUCUCGAAAUGACCUCACACCUCCAGGGGAUGCUGCUGGUGGGUUUUCUUGGAUCUUACAAGGGGCAAGUAAGGGCCAGUAGCCUUAUAUAUGGCUUCCUCUGAAGAAUGCUAAGCCUAGAAAGACUUUUUCCUUCCAAAAUACUGUUGAGGAGAGGUUUUUGUGAUUAUCAUUGCCUGAAAUCUACCCUUCAACAUUUUUAUUCCUUUGGCUUAAGGCUAAAUAUCCUAAUCCAAAAGACUUUAGAGGGGUAAAAGUGAAGACCUGGUCAAUAUUUGAUCAUUUAAUGAUAAUCAAUAUGUAGGCAUUCAGUCAGAGUUCCUGGGUGGUGCAAAUAAAUGGGUAGUGCACUUGGCUGUUAACCAAAAGGUUGGAGGUUCAAGUCCACCCAGAGGCACUUUGGAAGAAGGGCCUGGGAAUCUACUUUAAAAAAAUAUUAGCCAUUGAAAAUCCAGUGGAGCACCAUUCUACUCUGACACACAUGAGGACGCCAUGAGACAGAAUUGACUUAGUGGCAAUGGGUUUACUGGUUUUAAGUAUUCAAUCAGAUAUUUUCCAGCAUCUCUUCAGCAGAGCACUUUCCCAAGAAGUGACUUUGAACAGUGAAGUUUUGAUGAGGGAGGGAUGCAGGUGGGCAGAGAGGACAUUAACUGAUGAGUGAAUUAAAACUUGGGGAAGAAGACUGAUCAUGCACAGGGAGCCCUUCUAGAGCAAAGCUGUCGUUGGUAUCCAUUCUCCCUUUCAUAAUGGCUUGUGUGCUUUAUUCAUUACAGCAAGAAGUUUAGCCCUGGAGAGGGUUUGCCCUGGGCCCGAUCCUACUAGUUAAAAGUUCAAGUAGAAUUCUGAUAGAAAUUAAGAUUGCUAUCUAGUGCAAUACAAAAAUCAGUGGUCCGUGUUGAUUGCUGUGCCAAUAUCACUGCAGUGAAUUGAAAUCAUUGCUGACGUGGAUACAGUUAGUUCUAUUUGAACAAUAAUUCCUAGUCAACGCUUGUUUCCCCAAGUGAAUGUUCCUUUAAAGAAAAAUAUUUAAGGAUCUCCAGCUCUGGAUCCAACCGCUCAGUACACAUAGUGAACACAGGAGACCAAGGGCCCCCUGCUGAUGUCCACCUGUUUGUAUCUGGGUGAGGAGCCCUGUCCCUUCCCAUUCUUGCAGCAAGUGUAUUGCUUUUCUGAUGUGGGCAUUCUUGGCCAGUCUGGAUCUCUCAAGGUAAUCUAAAAUUUGCUCCCUCUCCUGCCUUCUGAAGCCAGUUUAUUCCCAAAGAGCUGGAUCUCAGAGCUUGGUGGCCCUGGGCUGUCUUCAUGUGUCCAGGCUGGAAGCAUUUGAUAGGCAGGGUUCCCUUAACACACCCAUCUAGCCAUCUCACUCCCAGGUCCUCAAGACAAUCCUUUUAACACUGUUCAGACCCCAGAUAGUGUGCAAACUUUAUUCUGAUUACCUGCUUUGCAGGAUCUUGACUCGUGAAGUUAGGAAGCCUCCUGAAGCACUCUGUGGUUGUUGUUAGGUGGUGGUGAGUUGAUUCUGACUCAUAACAAUCUCAUGUGAAAGUAGAACCAUCCCAUAGGCUUUUCUAGGCUGGAAUCUUUAUGGGAGCAGAUUGCCAGUGGGUGGGUUCGAACCUCCAACCUUUCAGUUAGCAGCCAAGUGCUUAAUCACUGAAGCACUCCAUAAAGGCCACCUGUCAGUUUUCAACAAUGCUAGUGCCAGUUCAAGUCCAACAUGAUCUAACACGGAGUGACCACACAUUUUGUUGUUUGUUUCUGCAUCGAGGUGACCACGGCCCUUCGUGCACCCCAGGAGGCAGGAUGUACUCACUCCUCAAUAAUCUAUAAAAUACCAAGAAUCACCUACUCAAAUUCUGAAGAUUUCAGGGAACAUUUUUAAAUACAAUGACAGCAAGAGGACAUGGUACUGUUAACGUGUAUCCUGCUUCGAAACCAACAGAACAUCCCCUCUAGCUCUUUGCUUCCUUUCCCUCCCCAAAGGAAUUUGCUAUUGUUUGUAAAUAUAGUAUAUCCCUAACGCUGGCUUUAUUAACCACAGUUCAAACUUGACCUUUCUGAACAUUCUUAGUAUGUAGGUUUUAAUUUUUUUAAUCAACUCCGUUUUUGUUGUUGUUAGGUGCCGUCCAGUCAGUUCCAACUCAUAACAAAGCUGUGUACAACAGAACCAAACUCUGUCCAUUGAGGUAUAAUUCACAUGCAAGAAACCAUGCUUAUUUUAGGGUAGAGUUCAAGAGUUCUGAAAAAUGUAAAACCCACGUCACUACCAUUGUAAUCAAGAUAUGGAAUGUUUUCCCUCAGCCCCCAAAUUUCCCUCAUACCCCUUUGAUGUCAAUCCCCUUCCCCAGCCCCAGCUCCAGGCAACCACUGUUCUGCUUUUGGUGCCUACAGAUUAGUUUUGGUGGGCUUUAAUUUUAAUGAGAAUAUACCAUAGGCAGUGAAACGGAGUUCUACAUGCUUCUGCUCAAAACCCUACAGGGAGUCUACAUGAGACCAUUUUAACAUUGAAGAAGAAGAAUUUGUAUGUUAUCUGAGACACCCAAAAUCUUUCCCUUUGUUAGGGUUCGUUUCUUUCAUCGGUAUGAUAAAUUUUUUUCAAAGAUGGCUGCCAACACUUCCUCCCUUCCCGAAGACCACGUGCUGUUCCUUCCAUCAAGAACCAGGGACUGGCUCUGUGACUUGAUUUGAUCAAAGGAAUGCAGAGGAAGUGGGUCUGUCAGUUCCAGGCUUAGUCCUUAAGAGACCUGAGAGCAACUGCUUUUGGCCUCUUGGGAUUCAGCCACCAAGUAAAUAAACUCAGGCCAGAUCAUUGAUGAUGGAGGCCACAUGGAGAGGGAGAGGUGCAGCCAGCAGCCACCCCAGCUUAGUCACCAGACAUGUGAGUGAAACCACCUUGGACAUUCCAUUUCUAGCCAAGUUCCCAGCCAAAGGCAGCCACGCAAGUGAUCUCAGUCUACUCAACACAGAGCAGAAGAACUGCCCAGAGGAGCCCAGCCAACACACAGAAACAUGAGGCAUAAUAAAUCUUUGUUGCCUCAAGCCUUUAUGUUUUGGGGUAGUUUGUUACGCAGCAAUAGAUAAAUAAAGCAAUCAGGAAAUGGAUGGAGGGUAGGUAGUUCCCUCGUAGAAACACUUGAAACAACAGCAGUAAAGGAAAGGACACGUAGCCUUUGCAAUGCUAUGAAGUACUGUCUGCGCCUUUGUGAACUCCCAGGUGCAGUUUGCUAAACCUGCGUCUACCAGUGGAACCAGAACCCAGGGUGCAGUCACAGCCCAAGAGAGGCUGCCUCAAGCUCUCGGGAACUCCAUGCGGGGUUGGUUCAAAGAGGAAAGGGUGUCCCAGAUUCUUUUUUUUCCUUCUCUCUGUGGCUUUCAAAAGGAGAGUCUCACAUGAAUGGGAAGAGUCAUAGCCGAAGAAUCUGAGUCUCUAAGACUUACAACAUUUUAGGGAAGCAAGUGUCCUUGGGAAGAAUACCCAGAUGAGAAGUGACGUAAAUUCUCAUGAUCAAGGUCUGGCAUGGUAUGUAGCAUGUGAUGUUGUUGUUAAUUACCACCUAGUCUGCUCCGAUUCAUGGAGACCUUCUAUAUAACAGAAGAUGCACCAUUUUCAUGAUUGUUGGGGUGUUCAAGUCCAUUGCUGUGGCCACUGUGUGUACUGAGCACCUUCCAACCCAGGGGGCUCAUCUGCCAGCACUAUGUCAGACAACAUUCUGUUGUGAUCCAUAAGACUUUCAUUGACUAAUUUUCAAAAGUAGAUCACCAGGCCUUUCUAAGACAGGGAGCAAAGGUCCUGAGGUCGGAGGGUGCCUGUUUGAGAAAUAGCAAAGAGACUGGUGUGGUUAGAGGAGAAGCAAGUAAAAGAGAAAAAGGCUAUACUAUCAGGGAGGUAAUAGGGGGUUGAGUAUGGAACCUAGAGACUUAGUAAGAGAACAGAGGGGCCCCCAAAUCUGCACACAGAGCAACAAAAAAUGGGCCAGGGUGCAGAAACAAAGCCAUUCCCCAGAACAAAGGGGUAGGGUAUCUAAAAAUAGUCCACAAACUUCCUUAAAGUUGGCUUUCAGAAACAGCUGGAGAAAACCAGGCCCAGGGACAUGCGCAGAACAUCCACCUGUGACCACUGUGUGGUCUUCCACCAGGGGCAGUGAGGGACUACAGCCCCAGCCAGGGAAUCCAACCCAGGGAGCAAGAGACUGCACAGGCGCGACACCCCAUAAUAAGUCCUGCUACGAAUCCCAGAGGCCUCCAGGACAGGAGCCAUCUUGGAAAGCUGCUGCACUCUCACCUUAGUUAACAUAGCCCUGCUGUGUCUUUGAAUAAACAUGAAUCAUUUCCCACCCAAGAACUUUUAAAAACUUGGGCCUGUCUUUUGUUCUAUGAGAUGAGGAUAAGUGUUGCUCUAGGCCCUCUUCGUCCCUGCUUGCAAGCCUCUUCAAUAAAGCUUUGCUCAUGUGGAAAACUACAUGCCUUACCUGCUCAUUCUUGACCAGUGAGAGGCAAGAACCUUAUUCUGGUAACAUUUCCUCCUAGUCUGUCUUAGUCUGGAAGCUCUGCUGAAACCUGUCUGCCAUGGGUGACCCUGCUGGUAUUUGAAAUACCAGUGGCAUAGCUUCCAGCAUCACAGCAACACACAUGCCACCACAGUAGGACAACCUGACAGACAGGUGGCAGUACCAUACAAUAGCUACUCACAGGUGUUUAUUAAAUCCAUCAAUUUCUGCCUGAGUUGUCUGGAUAUUCCACAGACCCAUUACAUUAGAGAAUCCAAGUCUGGGGCUAAGGUAUCCGUCAGACACAGACAAUCCACUUGGACAAGUCCCGAAGCAGCAUGCACAUUGUCCAGGCCAGAGAGUGCUGUAGGACAUUAAACUUGAAGCUGAAUUAUUUGGCCUCUUGUAGACUUGGCUUUCACCUGGCAUUUGGCCAUAGGGUGGAGUAAGCUUGGGCCAUCAGCAUAAGCCAACCACUCGCCCUUUCGUUCUGGGAAGCCCCAGUCAUCCUCAAACAAAUCAGGUCACAGAAAACAAGGCUUCUUGCAGUAACUCGUUUGAAUUGGGGAAGACUGCUAAUGGGAUGUAUGUAAAUCCUUGCUGUAAAUAACCAGACGGUAACAAAAAGCUAAUGAGCGUUUCCUGAUAAGUAUAGGCUUUCUGGUGCUCCCAGAGGCCAUUUUGAGUUGGGUCUGAUGAACAACGGAAGCAGAACAAGCUUGUCUUUGCUUCCCCUGAAGUCUCCGCUAGUUGGAUCCCUAGGCGGUGCAAAUGGCUAAGCACUCAACUACUAGCCGGAAAGUUAAAGGUUUGAUGCACCCAGAGGCACCUCCAAACAGUGGUGUCACUAGGGUUAGUGUCGCCCAGUGCAGUAAUUCCUGGCGUCACCCCCCCAUGCUAAUUACCACAAUAUUGUAGUUAAAACACCAGAAGAUUUGACAAAAUCAACAACCAUAAACAAUAUCAUGUGCCUGUAGCAUGUGCUCAUGAAACCACGCGAUUUGAAGUGUCAUUGUCAUUGGGUAAUAAUGACCAGAACACAUGAAAAAAAAACGUUGCUGUGGAGUCAAUUCCAACUCAUAGUGACCCUAUAAGGACAGAUUAGAACUUUCCCACAGGACUUCCAAGGAGCACCUGGUGGAUUCAAACUGCUGACCUUUUGGUUAGCAGCUAUAGAUCUUAACCGCUAUGCCACCAGGGCUUCAGUUCAAAAAGUAAAUUAGCACAGCAUUUUAGCCUUGUAGGUGUAUUGAUACAUGUAAGUUGGGCUUACGAAAAAUUUUUUUGUUGUUAUAACUACAGGUAUAUUUUUAUAAAAAAUAAGAAAUUUCUGCUAAAAAACACUGCACAAAAAUUUUAUAGACAGUCAUUUUGGUGUCACCCCAGCUGACAGUGUCACCCAGUGUGGUCCCCACCCCUGCACUCCCCUAGCAACACCACUGACUCAGAAGAAAGGCCUGGCAAUUUACCCUAUGGGGCACAGCUCUACUCUAACACACAUAGGGUCACCUUGGUUGGAAUCAACUCGACAGCAGCUUGUGAGUCUUGAAAGGAAAGAGGACAAAGAGACAAGAGGAGUUUCCUGUAUCUGGACCAGAAGGCUGCUUCUCCACCUCUAGUUUAGUUUUUAAAUGUCUGUGAUGGUCCUGGCACAUCCUGUGUGUCUUCACGUUUCCUGUAUGUGGAUUGAGGUGGGUUUCCCUAGUUCGCCUCCCAGAAAACAGAGGAAUGGGAAAGAGGUGGGGAUGUGGCAACCCCAGGGGUCUUCCCACAAACAGAGCCAUGGGUGAGUAGCAGAUACCAGGAGGGCUAGGCCAUGGACCAGUGCCAGUGUGCAAGCAGCACAAAGCUGGUGUCAAACAGUGUUUUUGCCUUCCGUAUGGUUUGUGUCUCUUAAAAAAAAAAAAGUGGUGAAAAUAUACAUAACAAAACAUAUGCCAUUUCAACAAUUUCUACAUGUACGAUUCAGUAAACUUGAUUGGUUUGUGUCUUUUAGAAUAAAUCUGAAGGAUUUGGCCCUCUGCCUCUGCAAGCUCUCUUCGUUGUGUGCAAACCUCCUGAAAUGCUCUAAGCGCCGCCCCAGUGAAAGGGGGGGGUUACUUUUGUUCAUAGCUCUGUCAGCAACUGGAAGGCGGCCACACCUUCUGGCAUCUGACUGAGUAGGAAAAAGGCCCCAGGGUGUCCUGUGCUGGGGACACCAGGUGACUGAAGAAUCCAUGCCAGCCAGGAGAUCCCACAGGUGCAGGGGCUGACGGGAAAUGCGCAAUCGUGGACGGUUUUCCUGCUGAGCCCGGGUGUCCGGCUGAGUCACUCUUCCUUCUGCCCCGUCUUGCCAGCCCUUCUUCCCUCCCCAUGGCUCUCCUGCCUUCUCUGGGGCAGGAAACUCAUCGUAACUAGAACCCAGAACACGCCUAACUUUAAAAGACUUUCCCUUAUAUACUUAAUGUUUAAGGAAGAGGGUCAAAUGGCAGACAAAAACAAUCAUUCACACUCAGCAAAACCAAGCUACUAUCAAGAAUUUUUAAUACAAAACAAAGAAUGGGGUAUAAUGCAGGAUCAGGGCAAAUACAGAGCCAUCUCUACCUUUAUAGGCUGAGAAAUGAUACUGAUAACGACGACUCCAAAACCCAGAUCCUCAGAUAUAUUAAAAAAUAGUAUUUUAUUAUUAAAAUUCAAUGUGUAGGCUGUCCCAAAUCCUUUUUGGCAUGAAACAAGGUAAUAAUAAUAUACUUUAAUGUUUAUUUUGCGAGUACUUCCACGUGUAUGAUUUCUUUAAUCUUACCAUGGCCAAGUGAGCCUGUAGAGUCUCAAACAGGUCAGGGGCAGCUUACCUUCUUGGAUUUGUUUGAAUCUGUGAGCACAGUGUUGGGGAUCCUACCACCAUUGUGGUGAGGAUGGGGUGGCUUGGUGUUCCUGAGUGGUACAAAUGGUUAACGCGCUUGGCUGUUAACUGAAAGGUUGGAGGUUUGAGUCCACCCAGAGGUGCCUCAAAAGAAAGCCCUGCCGACCUACUUCCAAAAAAGCAGCCUCUGAAAACCCUGUGGAGCACAGUCCUACCCUGACACAUAUGGUGUCACCAUGAGUCAGAAUCAACUGGACAGCAGCUGGUACUGGUGCUGGUAUGUCUACCCUGAAGUGCAGAUGUCUUUAAGGCUUUCCUGGGGUUUGCUGACUCUGUUGGCAGAUCUCUGUGACGACGUGUUACAGCGAGCCUUUUAAUCUCCGUGGCAUGUAGUAAGGCAGCCUCAUUGGCUGGGGAUUUUCCUUGGGCCAUUACAAAGGUAACAUUUAUUUUGGGAUCCUUUUAGUCACAAACAGAAACCUGUUUAAAUUGGCUCAAGUAAAAAGGGGACAUUUAAAUCAGGAUACACUGGUUGUCUCAAGGAACCCAAGGGCACCAAGGGCAAAUAGUCUUUGGAGGGAUUGGAACCAGAACAAACACACAUUCCAAAUGGACAUUUCUGAAUCCACAAGUAGACAAUGUGUGAAUUUUCCACAACUUGAGCAAGGUUGGCAUGUCUGACCUGCUCAGUGUAACAGCGUAGAACAGUGUGGUAGCAUUGUCCCAGCCACAGAGAAGGCCAGGGAGUCAGUCUUAAUAGCCUGUGAUAAGUGAAACAACACUUACUAUGUACAAAAAUUGAAUGUGUGAUGAAGACAGCAUCAACAACGGGACUGAUUAUUCAACAAACAGUGCCGUACCAUUUAGAAGUUCACCUUAUUUAAUACACUGUCUUAGUUAUCCAGUGCCGCUAUAACAGAAAUACCACAGAUGAAUGGCUUUAACAAACAAAUUUAUUCUUUCACAGUUUAGGAGGCUAGAAGUCCAAAUUCAGGGUGCCAGCUGCAGGGGAAGGCUCUCUCUCUCUGCCAGUUCUGGGUGAAGGUCCUCACCAUCAUUCUUCCUCUGGUCUAGGAGCUUCUCAGCUCAGGUACCCCGGGUCCAAAGGACACAUUCACUCCCAGCACUGCUUUCUUGGUGAGAUGAGGUUCCACUCCUCUCUGCUCCCUUCUCUCUUUUAUAUCUCAAAAGAGAUUGACUCAAGAUACAACCUAAUCCUGUAGAUUGAACCCUGCCUCAUUAACACAACUGCCUCUAAUCCUGCCUCAUUAACAUCAUAGAGGUUAGAGUUUACAACACAUAGGAUGAAUACAGUAACCCUGGUGGCAGAGUAUUUAAUAGCUACUGCUGCUAAACAAAAGGUUGGCAGUUCGAAUCCACCAGAAUUGAUUUGAUGUAAAUACAUCGGAUCACCAAAUGGAGGACAACUUCACAAUACUGGGAAUCAUGGGCUAGCCAAGUUGACACAUAGUUUGAAGGGACACAAUUCAGUCCAUAACAUACACCAAUAUCACUUCCAAACUAAUUAAAGGGUAAACGUUUUUAAAAGUAUUUUUAAAGAGUAUGUGAUAAAAACAUGAAAAUAAAAAUAAAAUGAAAUACAAUUUAAUAUUAAUUAAGAUCCUAAUAAAGAGAAGGAAAUGACUCCUAAGCUCAGAAGCCAUAAGGCAAAAAAUCAUAAAGUAGAGCUGAAGAGGUCUGACAUUUAUUGCUUGUUAUUAUCAGUCUUUCUUAAAGCACGUUGCCCAUAUUAUCCAAUGUGUCUCCCAACUUUAUGAAGAUGGUAUUAUUGCCUCAUUUUAAAAGCUGAGUACACUGAGGCAUAAAGAUGUUAAGUAACUUCUCCAAAAUCAUCUAGUCAGCGGGAGAGCCAAGAGCGACUCCAAGAACCGUGUAUCUCCAAAACCAUGCUCUAAUCCUCUAUGCCAGAUAACCUCCUUCCUAAAAAUUUAAAUAGGUUUAAAGAGCAAAAUUCACUCACUCAUUCUCCCAACAUGUAUUUAUUGAACACAUACUAAGGGCUGGGGAUAGUGGUGGUUCAGUGGUAGAAUUCUCACCUUCCACGUGGGAGCCCGGGCUUGACUUCUGGCCAAGGCACCCCAUGCGCAGCCACCACCCAUCUGUCAGCGGAGGCUUGUGUGUUGCUAUGAUAUGCUAAACAGGUUUCAGCAGAGCUUCCAGACUGAGACUGACUAGGAAGAAGGUCUUGGAGACCUGCUUCUGAAAACUAGCCAGUGAAAACCUUAUGGGUCACAAUGGCCCAUUUUGCAACUGGUCGUGGAGAUGGCACAAGACUGGGUAUCGUUUUGUUCCAUUGUGAGUGGGUCACCUUAAGUCAAGGGCUGACUGCACUGUAGCUAACAGCAACACUGAGGGAUAGACACUACACUAGGCACUAGGCAUACAGUAACAAAUAAGGCAGACAAGGCCUCUGACUUCAUGAAGCUUACGUUGUAUAUCUAGACUUGAGAAUCUAGAGAGGCUACAGACCAUAAAGAAGUCUGUGAUGAAUAAACACGAGAAUGUUCAAUUGUGGUAA